UGAUCGUGGUGUAAACCUUAUUCCUGGGGAGUGUGCUACAGUGUCUACCUUGUGCCGCCGUCUGUUCGAAGAAGUUCUACAACGCUCGUCAUCGUCUUGGAAUGAGUCGUGAUCAAGAGCCUGAACAUAACCUCUUAAUAAAACCAACCGCCGCUCUGGAAUUCAUUACAGAUGAUUACAGAACUGAAUUAGACACAUUGUAUAUCCGCUACAUCGUACAUCGCUAGUCGUCGUAAAUUCUUCAGGACCACAGACAGUUAAUGUAACGAGAGCCUCUUGAGUUUUAUUAGGUGUUCCUGUUUACUUGAGGGAAAUUUCUCGGUGUAUGUUGGUAUAUUGUUAAUAUACUGGUUAACUAUG